rnacentral:rRNA from 1 species
CGGACGGGUGAGUAAUGCUUGGGAAUCUGGCUUAUGGAGGGGGAUAACGACGGGAAACUGUCGCUAAUACCGCGUAAUAUCUUCGGAUUAAAGGGUGGGACUUUCGGGCCACCUGCCAUAAGAUGAGCCCAAGUGGGAUUAGGUAGUUGGUGGGGUAAAGGCCUACCAAGCCGACGAUCUCUAGCUGGUCUGAGAGGAUGACCAGCCACACUGGAACUGAGACACGGUCCAGACUCCUACGGGAGGCAGCAGUGGGGAAUAUUGCACAAUGGGGGGAACCCUGAUGCAGCCAUGCCGCGUGAAUGAAGAAGGCCUUCGGGUUAUAAAGUUCUUUCGGUGAUGAGGAAGGGUGAUGUUUUAAUAGAGCAUUACAUUGACGUUAGUCACAGAAGAAGCACCGGCUAACUCCGUGCCAGCAGCCGCGGUAAUACGGAGGGUGCGAGCGUUAAUCGGAAUGACUGGGCGUAAAGGGCACGCAGGCGGUGACUUAAGUGAGAUGUGAAAGCCCCGAGCUUAACUUGGGAAUUGCAUUUCAUACUGGGUCGCUAGAGUAUUUUAGGGAGGGGUAGAAUUCCACGUGUAGCGGUGAAAUGCGUAGAGAUGUGGAGGAAUACCGAAGGCGAAGGCAGCCCCUUGGGAAUAUACUGACGCUCAUGUGCGAAAGCGUGGGGAGCAAACAGGAUUAGAUACCCUGGUAGUCCACGCUGUAAACGCUGUCGAUUUGGGGAUUGGGCUUUGAGCUUGGUGCCCGUAGCUAACGUGAUAAAUCGACCGC